CUGCCAUAUCACGUUGCCACACCUGUUCACGUAAGGUCACCGAAGUUAAGCUCUAUCGAGCGUGGUCGAUACCUAGAUGGGUGACCGCUUGGAAAAAACUAGGUACUGUAA